GCACUGCUGAAUAGUCCCAUAAUAGGACGAAACGGCCGUCCAAUGC
rnacentral:hammerhead_ribozyme from 1 species